AAAGACUGACGCUCAUGCACGAAAGCGUGGGGAUCAAACAGGAUUAGAUACCCUGGUAGUCCACGCUGUAAACGAUGAUCACUCGUUGUUGGCGAUAUACUGUCAGCGACUGAGCGAAAGCAUUAAGUGAUCCACCUGGGGAGUACGGCGGCAACGUUGAAACUCAAAGGAAUUGACGGGGGCCCGCACAAGCGGAGGAGCAUGUGGUUUAAUUCGAUGAUACGCGAGGAACCUUACCUGGGCUUAAAUGUAGGACGACGUUUCGUGAAAGCGGAAUUUCCUUCGGGACGUCUUACAAGGUGCUGCAUGGUUGUCGUCAGCUCGUGCCGUGAGGUGUCGGGUUAAGUCCCAUAACGAGCGCAACCCUUAUCAUUAGUUGCCAUCAGGUAAUGCUGGGAACUCUAAUGAAACUGCCUACGCAAGUAGUGAGGAAGGUGGGGAUGACGUCAAAUCAGCACGGCCCUUAUGUCCAGGGCGACACACGUGCUACAAUGGCCAGUACAGAGGGUUGCAA
rnacentral:rRNA from 1 species